UAAGGAAUUGAGGAACAUUGAUGAUCAAAUGUCUACCUUAAACCUUGCUUUUACAAAAGCAGAAUAAAGUGAAAUGAAACUAAAAUGA
rnacentral:sRNA from 1 species